AGUGAACGCUGGCGGUAGGCCUAACACAUGCAAGUCGAACGGCAGCACAGGAGAGCUUGCUCUCUGGGUGGCGAGUGGCGGACGGGUGAGGAAUACAUCGGAAUCUACCUUUUCGUGGGGGAUAACGUAGGGAAACUUACGCUAAUACCGCAUACGACCUACGGGUGAAAGUGGGGGACCGCAAGGCCUCACGCGAUUAGAUGAGCCGAUGUCCGAUUAGCUAGUUGGCGGGGUAAUGGCCCACCAAGGCGACGAUCGGAAGCCGGUCUGAGAGGAUGAUCAGCCACACUGGAACUGAGACACGGUCCAGACUCCUACGGGAGGCAGCAGUGGGGAAUAUUGGACAAUGGGCGCAAGCCUGAUCCAGCCAUACCGCGUGGGUGAAGAAGGCCUUCGGGUUGUAAAGCCCUUUUGUUGGGAAAGAAAUCCUGUCGAUUAAUACUCGGUGGGGAUGACGGUACCCAAAGAAUAAGCACCGGCUAACUUCGUGCCAGCCGCCGCAGUAACAC
rnacentral:rRNA from 1 species